rnacentral:rRNA from 1 species
AGUCGAGAAUUUUUCACAAUGGGGGAAACCCUGAUGGAGCGACGCCGCGUGGAGGACGAAGGCCUUCGGGUCGUAAACUCCUGUCAUGCGGGAACAAGAAAGUGAUAGUACCGCAAGAGGAAGAGACGGCUAACUCUGUGCCAGCAGCCGCGGUAAUACAGAGGUCUCAAGCGUUGUUCGGAUUCAUUGGGCGUAAAGGGUGCGCAGGCGGCGUGGAAAGUUGAGUGUGAAAUCCUGGGGCUUAACCUCAGAACUGCACUCAAUACUCCCAUGCUAGAGGAAUGUAGAGGAGAGUGGAAUUCACGGUGUAGCAGUGAAAUGCGUAGAUAUCGUGAGGAAGACCAGUUGCGAAGGCGACUCUCUGGGCAUUUCCUGACGCUCAUGCACGAAGGCCAGGGGAGCAAACGGGAUUAGAUACCCCGGUAGUCCUGGCAGUAAACGGUGCACGUUUGGUGUGGGCGGGCUCAGACCCCGUCCGUGCCGGAGCUAACGCGUUAAACGUGCCGCCUGGGAAGUACGGUCGCAAGAUUAAAACUCAAAGAAAUUGACGGGGGCCCGCACAAGCGGUGGAGUAUGUGGCUUAAUUCGAUGCAACGCGAAGAACCUUACCUGGUCUUGACAUGCAUCUCUAAGUUAAUGAAAGUUAGCGACUUGGUAGCAAUAUCAAGAAUUUGCACAGGUGCUGCAUGGCUGUCGUCAGCUCGUGUCGUGAGAUGUUGGGUUAAGUCCCGCAACGAGCGCAACCCCUGUGUCCUGUUGCCUGCAAAGGCUCUCUGGACAGACUGCCCUGUGAAACGGGGAGGAAGGUGGGGAUGACGUCAAGUCAGUAUGGCCCUUACGACCAGGGCUGCACACGUACUACAAUGCCCAGUACAGAAUGAUCCGAAUCCGCAAGGUGGAGGAAAUCUCAAAAACUGGGCCCAGUUCGGAUUGGAGGCUGCAACUCGCCUCCAUGAAGCCGGAAUCGCUAGUAAUGGCGCAUCAGCUACGGCGCCGUGAAUACGUUCCCGGGCCUUGUACACACCGCCCGUCACAUCAUGGAAGUCGUUUGUAGCCGAAGCACGUACGCCAACCCGCAAGGGAGGCAGCGUUCUACGCUAUGAGCGGUAACUGGGAUG